rnacentral:rRNA from 1 species
GUCGGUGUUGAUGGCGUUGAGGGUCCACCCGUUCCCAUUCCGAACACGGUAGUUAAGCUCAACAGCGCCGAAGAUACUUAGUGGGAAGCCGCUUGGGAAAAUAGGGCGAUGCCGACA